UUAGAAGUAGUUUAAAAAGAACAGUAGCUUUGGGGGUUAUAAGCGCUAUAAAGGCCUUCUAGU
rnacentral:tRNA from 1 species